GCAGGUAUAGCUCAGUGGUAGAGUAUGUGCUUAGCAUGCAUGAGAUCCUGAGUUCAAUCCCCAGUACCACCA
rnacentral:tRNA from 1 species